rnacentral:rRNA from 1 species
CAGCCGCCGCGGUAACACAGAGGGUGCAAGCGUUAAUCGGAAUUACUGGGCGUAAAGCGCGCGUAGGUGGUUUGUUAAGUUGGAUGUGAAAUCCCCGGGCUCAACCUGGGAACUGCAUCCAAAACUGGCAAGCUAGAGUAUGGUAGAGGGUGGUGGAAUUUCCUGUGUAGCGGUGAAAUGCGUAGAUAUAGGAAGGAACACCAGUGGCGAAGGCGACCACCUGGACUGAUACUGACACUGAGGUGCGAAAGCGUGGGGAGCAAACAGGAUUAGAUACCCGUGUAGUCCCUGUCUCUUAUAC